UACGUAGGGUGCGAGCGUUAAUCGGAAUUACUGGGCGUAAAGCGUGCGCAGGCUGUUUUUGUAAGUCAGAUGUGAAAUCCCUGGGCUCAACCUAGGAACUGCGUUUGAAACUACAAGGCUAGAGUGUAGCAGAGGGGGGUAGAAUUCCACGUGUAGCAGUGAAAUGCGUAGAGAUGUGGAGGAAUACCAAUGGCGAAGGCAGCCCCCUGGGUUAACACUGACGCUCAUGCACGAAAGCGUGGGGAGCAAACAGG
rnacentral:rRNA from 1 species